AAAGAUAACGCUUCCUCCUUCCUUCUGUUCUAGUUGAAGGAACUUGGAUUCGCCUCCCGUCAUGUGUUUGGAGCAUCCACUAUCAAGGUACCAAAGUACACUUGAUCCCUUCAAACAUACCUACAAGACAAAUUAAUGAGUCUUUGGUACCCAAGCUGUUUUGGGUCCUUGAGGGUUAGGUGUAACAUGUUGUUGUGCUUGACAUGCAUUUAAGUGUCUAUGUCUAGCUAAACAAGAAGGAGC
rnacentral:lncRNA from 1 species